GCUUUUUGGUUAGAGGGCCAGCAAAGACCAUGUAUAAGAUUUCUGGGAAAAAAAGAAAACAUAUUUCCUUUUCUCUAAGACUUGUCUGAAGCGACAAGGAAAGAUACAAAUAGAAGAAAUUCCAUGUCAUCAGUAGAAGCCAGGUACCAUCCACAUGCCACCGGCUUUGAAGGCUGUCUGCUGUGACACAGACGGGACCAGGCAACUGAAGUUCGGAAACUGUCCCUGACAGCCUCCUAUUAUGAAGAACCCAUGCUCAUCCUUUCACUGCAACUCAAGCAUUAGCUACUUUAAGAAGAUUCCUCUGGCCUUCCCUUCUACCAAAGCAGAGAAUCACUAAAUUAUUUACCAGAAUACCAGCACCACAUAGGAAGAGGAAGAGUUUCAGAAAAGGCAAGGAGACAAAUCAAAAUAAUUUCUUAGUCUGGAGAAAAGUCGAACUCUAUGAGGAACGUAAUAGGUGAAAUCUACUACAAGUUGGGCAGGACAACAGAGAUGUCAAACAUUUUUUGUUAUUGUGGAUAAAGUUCAGAGUUAACCCACUGGCCAAAGGAUGCAGAUUCUGAUUCAGUAGUCUGGGGUGAAGUCUAAGAUUCAGUACUUCUCAGAUACUUCCAAGUACAUCACACUUUGAAGAGCAAGGUGCAAAAAGGAAGGAAACAGCAACAGAAAGAAAGAAUGAGAAGAGCUGGGCUCAGUGUAAGAGCUGGAUGAAAGUCUGCAGGCCAUAGAAAAAAUAGCAAGCAAUUGGGGAACUAGACAGAAACAAGAAGGAGAACAUAGAGUGUUAAAAAGACUCUGUAUCACUCAAAAUACUAUCGGGAAACAAAAUCCAAUUCAGAAGAUUGAAGACAUUUUCAUGUAAGUAGACCUUACAGAGACCAACAACGGUGGAAAAAUCUUACCACACCUUAGACUUGAAGAGGUGAGAAGAGACCACCAAGGGGAAACAAGAGAAAGAUAAAGGAAAUCUUACCACUUCUCAGCUCUUGUGUAUAGAAACAUUUUCUACUUCUUCAGUCAAGGGGGCAUAUGGGUCAUUCUCUGCCCUCUUAUUUGAACUUGAUCCUGACAAGUGAUUUAGACAAGACAGAAAAUGGAGUUUAUUUGAGCAGAUGCAUGUCUUUGUUAAAUGCAUAUACACAAUACCAGUACAUUUAAAACUUAAAAUUAGCAUAUAAACUGGGCACAGUAAGGUCUUAUGGCACUCGCAAAACACAGAACCAACAUAAAUAGCCAGAGAAUAAAUACAAGAUUGUGCUGUAAUUAACUGCUAAAUUGUGAAUUAAAAGCAAUAAUAACCCAUAAUAUUAUAUUUAUUUUCUCUCCUAUGUAAGUAAUAUUUAAAAAAAAAACAUUUUUAUUGGAAUAACUAUUCAACUCCCAGAUUUAUCACUAUCUUCCAAAAUGAAAACCAUCCAAAUUUCAGCAUACAGGAUUCAGCUGCAACAGCUGUACCACUCAAAAAAA